rnacentral:lncRNA from 1 species
UUGAGUAACUCGCGCACUUGGGGCCCGUUUCCACCUAGGACUACAGGCUCAAGAUGGCCUGGUAGAUGCAGCCGGCACGCACCUCUCCUCUGACGGGAACCGAAGGAGCCGGUAGGUUUUCACACUUGCAGCAGAUCCGCUAAGAGAACGCGGGAUUCAGCCGAGAAGCCACGGGGAGCCCGAGGAGCGGAGCAGAGGCACCCAGGCAGCCUGCGCGGAGAAAUUGGAUCGGCGGGGACGGCCUGCAGCUCCCGCGCGCGGGGAAAGGGAAGAAGUCCUCCCCUACAAAGCAAAUUCACAAACUUGGAAGAAGCAAUUUACACAGGAUGUGCAGAUCUCAAUGGAAGGACACGGGAAACGUGAAAAAGCAAGGAAGUGGGACGCCUCCAAAGGAACCCAGUAAUUCUCCAGCAACAGAUCCCCAUCCAAAAGAAAUUCAAGAAAUGUCAUAUAGAGAAUUGUGGAAACUGAUUUUAACCAAGAUUAGAGGGAUUCAAGAGACUUCUGAAAAAGAAAGUAAGGAAAUGUCAACAGCAAUUCUGGAUAUGGUUGAGGUAUUUACCAACCAGAUACAGAGUUUUCCAGAGCACAUGGCAAAUGUGGAACUGAAGAAAUCACUGGAUGAAAUACAAAGUAUACUCGAAAGCUUCAAUGAUAGACUAGAUCAAGCAGAAAAAAAACUCUCAAAACUUAAAAUCUGAAGGCUUUUACUCAAUUCAAAUAUUUAAUGGGUUGUACUCUGGCCAUUCAGGUGAACAAAAUCUGCUGGGUUAAUUUUUUUUUUUUUUUUUUUUUUGAGAUGGAGUCUCGCUCUGUCGCCCAGGCUGGAGUGCAGUGGCGGGACCUCGGCUCACUGCAAGCUCCGCCUCCCAGGUUCACGCCAUUCUCCUGCCUCAGCCUCCUGAGUAGCUGGGACUACAGGUGCCCGCCACCACACCCGGCUUAUUUUUUGUAUUUUUAGUAGAGGUGGGGUUUCACUGUUAGCCAGGAUGGUCUCGAUCUCUUAACCUCGUAAUCCACCCGCCUCGGCCUCCCAAAGUGCUGGGAUUACAGGCGUGAGCCACUGCGCCUGGCCUUGGGUUGUUAUACUGGGGUCUUGAAUAAUCAUUAAAGGUGAAAUGAAAAUAAUUUCCUUUUGAGGUGGUCAAUUUUGUGAGAUGGAUUCUUGUUAGGCAGCUGUCAUGGAAAGAUGAUUUAGUUCAGUUGACAUUAAUAAUACGCAUGGUAAUCCUAACAGGUGAAUGUGGUUCAAACUAAAUUGCCAGGGAAUUGUCAUGGUCUAGAAAAGCCACUCUCUCCAGUAGACUGCUCACACAGCUACAUGUCAGCCCUCCUCACUGUGAAAGUGACAGACACCCUAGCAUUUUUAUUCAUCUCCCUUAGGUGCCUCAACUUUUUCUCCCACUCUCAGCUGAAAAGAGCUACAUCUACCAUUUCAUCUACUUAGUGUAUUUUCUUAUUGGCUAUGUUAAAAAAUUACAAACAUAACAAUUAUGAAUGAAAAAUAACUCCAUGGCUGGGUGCAGUGGCUCACACCUGUAAUCCCAGCACUUUGGGAGGCUGAGGCGGGUAGACCACAAGGUCAGGAGUUCAAGACCAGCCUGGCCAAGAUGGUGAAACCGUCUCUACUAAAAAUACAAAAAUUAGCCGGGUGCAGUGGCAGGCACCUGUAAUCCCAGCUGCUUGGGAGGCUGAGGGAGGAGAAUCAGUUGAACCCGGAGGGUGGAGAUUGCAGUGAGACUCUCAAAAAAACAAAACAACACAAAAAAAUCUCCUAAGAUGAUUAAAACAAACUUGCUUCUACAAUAAACCGUAAACUCACCGUAUCUAGUGAUUCUGUACAUUAAAUCUUUUGAACAUGUUUACCAAUUUGGUGUUAUGAAAAAUUUUUUAGAGGUUGUGUAUGGGCUGGGCACAAUGACUCAUGCCUGUAAUCCCACCACUUUGGGAGGCUGAGACGGGCGGAUCACUCAAGGACAGGAGUUCGAGAUCAGCUGGGGCAACAUGGCAAAACCCCAUCUCUACAAAAAGUACAAAAAUUAGCCAGGCGUGCACUAA